UUUUUUUUUUUUAAUAAUUUUUUUUUCCUUUUUCCUCCUUUUUUUUUUUUUUUUUUUUUUAAAUGUAUAACUUAAUGGGUCUGAACAGCACGGCCGUAGCUCUUCAGCCCAAUGUGUCCUGCACAUGCAACUGCAAAAGGUCUUUGUUCCAGAGCAUGGAGAUCACGGAGUUGGAGUUUGUACAGAUAAUCAUAAUCGUGGUGGUGAUGAUGGUGAUGGUGGUUGUGAUAACCUGUCUGCUGAACCACUACAAACUCUCUGCGCGAUCCUUCAUCAGUCGGCACAGCCAAGGGAGGCGGAGAGACGAGAAUCUGUCAUCAGAGGGCAGCCUGUGGCCGUCGGAAAGCACGGUGUCGGGGAACGGGAUAGCAGAGCAGCAAAUCUACACCCCGAGGCCCAGCGACCGGCUGGCGGUGCCGUCAUUCCUGCAGAGGGACCGCUUCAACAGGUUCCAGCCCACCUACCCCUACCUGCAGCACGAGAUCGACCUGCCCCCCACCAUCUCGCUGUCGGACGGCGAGGAGCCCCCCCCGUACCAGGGACCCUGCACGCUGCAGCUGCGCGACCCCGAGCAGCAAAUGGAGCUCAACAGGGAGUCGGUGCGCGCGCCCCCCAACAGAACCAUCUUCGACAGUGACUUGAUAGAUAACUCCGUGUACGGGGGGCCGUGCCCCCCCAGCAGUAACUCUGGCAUCAGCGCGACCUGCUAUGGGAGCAAUGGCAGGAUGGAGGGACCGCCGCCGACCUACAGCGAGGUGAUCGGGCACUACCCCGGGUCGACGUUUUACCAGCACCAGCAGAACAACAGCGGGAUGCCCUCGCUCUUGGAGGGCAGCAGACUCCAUCAUUCACAAAUCAAUGGCCUUGAGAGCACAACCGCGUGGAACAAAGAGAAAGAGAAACAAAAAGGGCACCCCUUUUAAAAAAAAAAAAUUAAAACAAGAAAAAAAAUGAAAAAAAUGAAAAAGGAAAAAAAGGAAAAAAAAUCAAGAAAGUUAAAUGAAACACUCUGCACUUCUCGUUAAAAGAAAAAGGAGAGAGAUUGAGAGUUGAGGAAGAUGAGCAAAGAAAAAAAAAGCCCUUCCCCAUCUCUCCAUGUAUAAAUAUUUACUUGUUAUGUCUGGUCUGAAUGCACAAGCCUACAAAGCUUGCAAAAACAUUUCUUUAUUGAGCUGUGUCUAGACGUUUAAAAAGGAAAAAAAAAAUCAACUGUAGUCCUUUUUUUUUGUUUCUAGUUGAGCUGUGUGUGAAUGCUUUUUUUUUGUUUGAUUAUUUCACUUAACUUUAAAGACAAAAUAUUUGCACAAAAAACAUUUUGUUUAAAGAUCUGCAAUAUAAAUAUAUAAAUAUAUAUUAAAAAUAAGAGAAAGUGUAUGUGUAAGGAGCAGGAGUAUUUUUGUAUUAGAAGAGGCCUAUUCAAAAAAAAAAGUUGUUUUCUGAACUAGAAGAAAAAUGGCAAUUUUUUGAGUGCCAACUCAAAAAGCGUGUAUUACGUUGUAAAAAAAAAACAAAAAAAAAAAAACAAAAAAACAAAAAAAAUCAAAAGCAGGGGUUUAGAGUUAUUUAUAUAAAUGUUGAAAUUUUGCACUAUUUUUUAAUAUAAAUAUGUCAGUGCUUGUGUUGGUCAAAGCCUCUAUCAUGUCUACCAUGCAACCGUUAAGGGAUAUUCGUCAAAGUGAAGAACAAAGUAGCUGGAAGGGGGUGGAAAAACGCUAAGGAGGAAACGGCAGCCCCGCGAGGAGCGCAGCGAGCCAGACUGCAUCUUACGCAACGCCUUCAUUUCCAGCGCCCCCUGCGCGGGGCCGGCGUUCCCUACAAAGUUCCCGGCGUUCCCUACAAAGUUCCCUACGUUCCCUACAAAGCAGGAGGAGUCAGUGCGCGUUCGCAUGUCAGCCGAGAGGGUUUGGGGAGUGCAAAGCGGGGACUGCUGCUGCUGGCACCGCUCCCCUCCCGGCUGAGCCAGCUCGAUGUGCCGAGCCGCGCGCGGUGCUCCCUCUGCCACUUGGGUUCUUGGACUCUUUGUAAGAUGUUCUUAGCAUGCAGUAUGGUGAACAACACCCUGAAUGUGCCACCGAAACUUAAUGACCUGGAAUGUGAACAUGGCUUUUUCAGUAAGGAUGGCAAGGAAGAAUGGCUUUCGUUUGGUUCUGACACUGGUAAAACUUCAGUCCCCUUCACAACCCUUGAGUUCAGUGGUUUGGAGAUCAGCUUUACUAAUCUAGUGCAUUGUUUCCAUACGUGUCACAAAAUCCAUUCUAUCUUAAGUGGGGGUAUAAGGAAAUCUAAUUGCUUUCUGGAGAAUUCACCCUUUGUAUGUGUAUAAAACUACAAAAUUGCACUAACUGCUAUAUUAAAAGUAAAUAAAUAAAAGCCCAACGUUUUUACUAAGGAUUGAAAAAGGACUGAAUCCAGAUGUGUAGCAUUAGCAGUGCUAGGCAAGAACAGAAUGAAUUUUUAAUCUCUUCUGUCUCUGUAUUGCUCAGAGAUUUUCUAUGUACAACACAAAGCUACAAAAAAUAAAAAGUUUUCCAGAAACUGCGCUUCAAAUUUUUGCUGUACUAUAGAAGCUCAUGAAGGACAACAUUACAAGUCCUAAUUUGCCUGCCUUAUAGACACAUUUCAUUGUAUUAAUAUUUUCUUAAACUUCCAGUUGCAUUGCUUUGGCUUUGGAGUUUGUUAUAGGCAGUCCUGUAUCCUGAGUUCUGUUCAAGUUUAAACUUAUGUAAACUAUUGACAGCACAUGCAAUGCAGUACUUAUCUAUAUUUUGCUGUUUUAGUAUGAAUAUGUACUCUGAUGCCAAUUUACAAAAAUCUGUUGUAAACGCUUAUUGUGUAACAGUAACCAAUAGUGGCAAUUAUAUGUCAUUCUAAAAGCUGCAAUACUUAUACAAUAAAUUUUACAAUACUUUGGAAAAUUUGCCUUCACCUUUUGCUUUGUUACCUACAGAUCAGAGUUUGCCAACACAAUGUAAUUUAAAAAGCUCUUCCUCUUUUCUUCUCAAAUAUUGGAAAAUGAAUAUUCUCGCGUUUUGAUAUUUGUGUAUUUUGCCCCCUUCCUUGUUAAGUAGCCUUCUGAAUUACAGGCCAACGUAUGUAUUGACACAAUGUGUUUUGUUUUUUUUUUUCCCGUGAAGCUGUAGCUGGUUCCUGGUGUAUUUGCAUGCUAGAUCCGUGUGUGUGUGUGUGUGUGCGUGUACAAUUCUGUUUUCUUUUGAGUAGAUCAGGUGUCGCAGCUUUAAUUCCAGAAGAAGCAUUCCUGUUUUGCACCAAUAUUUACAACACUUGCGAUCCUGCCUUUCAGACAAGAACACCACUGAUGGUCAGAAGGUCUUAACUUGAAUAAUCGUCAAUCAACAAGAACUGUGUAGAUUGACUCAAAUCCUAAGCACAGAA